UCAGAGAAUCUUGAUUGCAACAAGUAUGCAAAUUAACUACAAGUGUUCCCUGCCCUCCUCUACAACGACAACAAAAGCAUGCCCAUGUAAUCUCACAAGUGGAACUGGGGAGGUUAGAGCGCACACAGACCUUACCCCCACCUUGCCCUCGGCUCAAGAAGAAGCAUAUCAAAGCAGAUAGUACAGAAAGAAUGACAAAUAGUGUGAUCUGAUGUAAAAGAGAUAGUAGAAAGUAACAGAAACUGAAGGACGAAAAACUCAUACAUCAUACUCAUGAUAAAAACUCGCCAUUUGUUUACAAUAAGCGGCAGAGAUACAGUGGUGAUCAGUUUUGAUUCUGUUAAGAUAUUUGUUCGAUUGAUUUUAAGUGGGAGAUACACAGCACAAAAUUCUGACACUGGAUCGACUACAUUUUAGCCUCUGAUUCUUGAUAACAUUUUAAUUCUGGAUAGUGGCAUUUCUUUCAACACUCUUUGGAAA
rnacentral:lncRNA from 1 species